GCCCAUACUGGAAGGAGACCGUGGCUAGAAAAUGUCUUGCUAAUUCGUAGUUCGUACCAUCUACCUUUUAAUGCCAACUGCUGUCUAUUUUUGAGGGACUCGGUCUGUUCGAACUGGUUGCGUCCGCCAUCUUGAAGACUGAAUCAAGAAAGGAGAAAGAACGCUGAAUAAGUCAAGAAACAAGGCAUAUUAAAUGCCCUGGAUGUCUGGAAUAAAGAAACAAGAUUACAAAGCUUACCCAGAAAUCAAGAGUAGUCAGAACGGUCCUGUACCAUAUCAAGGACUAUUUAUCAAAGUUAUCAUUUCUUAGUCUGCCCAUUUUGAAAUGUAC